CUCUGGGGCAGGGACUGCCUCUUUAUUUGAAUAGUGCUUGCACAGUGGGAGCCUGGCCUAUAGAUGGCAGCAUAAUAUAAAUAAAUAAUAAUCAUAAAAUUCUGGUGAUCUCAGCUACAGAUGGAUUACUGGAGUUCUACAGCCAAGCACCUAGAAAAGUGAAUAUUAGCUUUUCUCACAUAGCUCUGAUAAAGGUUGCUGGGCACUCACAUGGUUGCUGUGGUGGAGUCCAUUACAUUUAAACCUGUGUGCUCUUGAGUUUUCCUGCAUCUCAGUAGACUUCAGCACUGUCUCUUUCCUUGGCUUUUGGCCUUGCUUGGUCUCUGUCUGUUAUCCCUUCACAGAUAUGGGACCGUGUGGAUUGGUUGCCUUAGGUGGACCUGUGCUUUCUCUCACAUACCUUGCCCAGUCUCUCCUGUAGUUUAAGUACACCCACUCCCUGAAGUUCCACCAUGUGAGCACUUUGGCUUCACAGUUCACCUUUUCAGGGGUAUGUCAUAGGUGAAAUGCUCAGACACAGGUGAGCUUUGAAGAGGAUUCUAAACACCAUUACUUUAUAUAAAGGCAAAAAUAAUAAAUCAAAAUAGGGUAAGUCAAAAUAAAUAAAAUCCUACAGGUAAGUCAAAAACAUGGGAGAAGGGUUGGAAUUUGGGGGGAGCAUGGGCUGUUUUAGCAGGGAUAAGGGAGAGACAAGACAGAACUGGUGGGAGGUGGCUGGGAAUCAAAUCUGUAUCUUAAUGUCUAUACUAAUGCAAGAAGUAUGGGAAAUAAGCAGGAAGAACUUGAAAUGCUAGUAAAUAAACACAACUAUGACAUAGUUGGCAUCCACCAAGACCUGGUGGGUUAAUAUGCAUGACUGGAAUAUUGGUAUAGAAGGAUACAGCUUGCUCAGGAAGGACAGUCAGAGCCCUCUUGGAUGUCCUGGAUCCUCCUGCAGCUCAUAGCUUCUCUGAAUCAUUGCUCAAUUUUUCUCUGCUCUGUCUCGCUUCCUUUGACCUUUGGCUGGUACUACAGUUAAAUAGGACCCCUCUCCUACAAAAGCAUAAUCCUCUGAUCCCGUCUCCUGCUCACUUGCUUUGUGAGUUCUUUGAAUUUGUAAGUCCCACUACCAACACCUGGUUCCUUUUGUUCUGUUUCUGGGCACUUUACGCUCUCCACGGUCAGACCCUUGCAGAGAAGUUACUGGGGAAAAAUGGAUUUUUCCCUAGGAUACAGUUACUCUUGUUCGCCACAGGUAAGAUCUAUUCAGGUGUUUGAUAGUCUUUAACAAUUAGCCUGUUCACAGAUAAGGAGAAGUGCUGCCAACAACACGUCUUGGUGCAAGGUGCACAAGUAAGAGUCAUAAAAUGAGGAUACAAAAGCCUAUAAAAUCAAAUUGAAAUUCAUAAGCUGUACAUAGACAGAUUCCCCAAAUUGUGUCUCAGCGCUAGUGACAUUCUUUAGGAAGGCACAUCAGAAUGUAGGCCAUACUUACAGAAUGGGGAACUCUGUCCUGGGAAGCAGUGACUCUCUGAAAAAGAUUUGGGAGUCAUGAGCUCAGGCUGGUGCUAUGGCCUACAGAAUGUGAUCCUGGGAUACCCCUGUUUAUGUAUCUCAAGUAAGAGUACGGAGGUUAUUUUAUCUCUAUAUUUGGCACUGGUGCGACUGCUGCUGGAAUACUGUGCCCAAUUCUUGUGUCCGCAGUUCAAGAAUGAAGUUGAUAAAUUGGAGGGGAUUCAGAAAAGAGCCAUGAGAAUGAUUAAAGGAUCAGAAAAAUGCCUUAGAGUGAUAAAUUCAAGGAGCUCACUCUGUUUAGCUUAAUAAAGAGAAGGUAAAGGGGUGACUUUAUUAGUCUUUAAGUAUCAUCAUGGGGAACAAAUAUUUAUAAUGGGCAUGUCAAUCCUACCAGAGAUAGGUGUAACAUGAUCCAGUGGGUGGAAGUUGAAGCUAGACAAAUUCAGAUUGGAAAUAAGGCGCACAUUUUUAACAGUGGGAGUAAUUAACCACUGGAACAAUUUACCCAGGGUUGUGGUGGAUUCUCCAUCACUGACAAAUGUUAAAUCAAGAUUGGAUGAUUUUUCUAAAAUUUGCUUUAGGAAUGAUUUGGGGGAUGUUCUAUGGUCUGUGUUGUACAGGAGUUCUGACUAGCUGAUCACCAUAAUUUGUUCCGCUUUUGGAAUAUGUCAGAUUAGACUAGACUUGGGCUGGCCUUUCUAGUUGUCAUUACCUUGAAAAGAUAAGGUUUGGACUUAGUUCCUCUGUCCAUACAAGAACAACACUGCUGCUUUGAGAGGAAAAGGCUGUUCCUCCAGCUUCAGAAACAUCUGUUCAAGGUAAGUAAUUUCCACAAUUCCUGGGAAAUAGUUCUCCCAUCGUUUUAAACCCGCAUUUUAAUGAAUGUUCCAAAAUGCAGUUUGUGGCUUUGACCAGCAGAUGGAGUUGAACUCUCAUUUGUGGGUAUGGGGAAAAGCAGAGGUUUUUUUUCUUACAAAGUGUGCUAGUGCCAGUGUGGCUUGGUGCAGGUUGGGGGCCCCUAGUAGGUAGAAUAAUACAAAUAGGAAAUAGUAGUUAUAUUGACCAGUGGGGAGUAAAAUAUCUGGAAACAUAUCACUUCCUUGAUUAAAAAUUAUAUCCCCUACAAAAUUCCAAGAUUUAGCCACCUAGCUAAAUGUCUCUGCAUUCUUGAGGGAUAGGAUCACUCUAUUUAAAAGGAACCUCUCACCCAAGAGCUGCAAAAGCAAAAUGCAGCAGUACAGCUAAAGAAAGCAUGCAAGAGACUAUGGAGAAUAUCAGGAACAGUGUAGAAUAAAAAUCUUAAUGCUUUAAAUGAGAUGAAUGAAUUAUUUUUCAGGUGAACUUCUUGAGUGUGUGUGUGAGAGAGAGAGAAAAUUUAUGUAACACUGUCACUUACCUAUUCCACUCUGGGGCAGGGAUGUGCAGGAAGAGGGCACUUUUUAUUGUAAUUCUGCCACCAAACGGAUGAGAGGAUUCUCUAACUCCCCUGGAUACUGCUCUCCUGUCUCCAAGGCAGAUUAUUAUUCUCUGAGCACACACAAACUUUUAAGAGCAACUAUUUUGCUUUUGAAAUUCUCCAGGUUGUACUAAAUAUGAGAUCCUCACUUGGGAUAAAUGGUCAUAGCUACCCCGGCAUUAAUGAAGCGAUGACCAUUUGCAGAAGCUGAGGCUGUGGCCUCCAAUAUGUUUUCAAAAUAUUCUUCUAGGGAAGGAAAACCACCGAUGCUGUACAAGGUCUUCAUUUCUAGCCUCUGCCUCCAUGCCAGAUUAAACACUAUGAACUCCAUGCUUUGCUAUUACUAUAAUACUCAGGAUUGUCUUUCUAGAAACAAAAUCUAACCCGUUCCACAAAUGCUUUUAGCAUAAGUUUGUUUGCCUAGAAUGCUGCCUCAUUUCUUGUUUAGGUUUAUAAGAAAGCAUUUUUGUUUAAAUAGGAUAUCAAAUGAAAGCGACUCACCCGUCCCCAGCCUGCCUUUCUGUGAGUACAAGUACCUGUGGGAUGUGGCUCUCAUCACACAUGGAUACAUUUUCAUGGGAGCUUCUUCUUAAAAUAUGGGCACCAUGUUAUUGGCCUGAAGUCUCUCUCCUCCUCAUAGCAGUAGGCUCAUAUAUACAGAAAGACUAGUUUGGCUGAUAUCCUUGGAUUUCCGCUCAUUCUGCCUUGCCAUCUCCUGCACUGUAAUCCUGCUGCGAUAGCUGAUCUGCUUCUGCUGCACACUGGUAAUCACGAGGAGGAGAACUCAACACACCGUGUUCUAUUCUCUCCUUCUGCCUUGGCCUCCGCACGUCUUUUUCCCCCUGCUUUUUUUUUUUUCUCUCCCAGGCCAUUUUUAUUAGUGCAGUAACAGUAAGACGUGGUAAGAUCAAAGUGUGAUCACCUUCAGAUUCCUCUAUUGCUGAAGUUUAUGAGCUAAGUGUUAACUGCAUGCUUCAAGUGAAAUAAACUGCAUGCUUUUUGUCUGCCCGUUUAUAAGCGCGCUGGGCUAGCAUCAGUUUUCAGUCUGACUGGAAGCCUGCAACAGCUGUUUCAUGUUAUAUUUCACUUGCAUUAGAAUUAGUUACUUUUUCCAGACUCCCAGACUGGUUCCCCAGUAUUAUUUCUUGUCAAAAUUCUUAAUUAACAACAAUACCAACACUGAUCUUGGAAUAACAGUGGAAGCAGAAAGGGUCAGAUUGAGAAGUGACACAUACACACACACCUGAGACUGGCACUUUGGACAGCGCUUGGCAUUCUAGAACUAUAUUAUAACUUUAAACCCCAUGGGAUCGGAAUUUAGGAUCCAGUCCUGCAAACGUUCAUGCAUUAGGUGAUGUAUCUGUAAAUUGAGUGUGAACUCCAGGAAGCUCAAUGCCAUUGUGCUGUCUGAUGCAUUCUCUAUGCUUUAGAGGAAUUAUUAUAAUAUACAUGUUGCAGGCACACAGCACAAUAUUAUAUACGUUAUGGGAGAGCCUGAAUAUGUAAACGAAACAGAUUCCGGUUUCCAGAACAGGGUCUGAACAAUUGCUGUGGUGUGCACUAAUGCUUGUCUCCGUAGUUUCCGAACAACUAGUGUCUAAAGUUUAAACUGUUGCUUUCUUAGCUACCUUGAGAAUGAAGGGUGUUUGGGAGGGGGUGUACACACCACACAAGGCCUGAAGAGGUCAAGGUAGCUAGGUAGGCCAAGUAACUGUCGAGGCUGCACCUGGAGGAGGAGCCAGGGAGCAGGGAUUAAUUUGUUGAGACUCAGCUGAGUGGGAACAGGAAGGGCCUGUAUAAAGCCCAGGAGCUGGGGAUGUGGGAUGCUGUAGGGAAGGAUUCUGUUACCACUCCCUGGGAGAAGGGAGCUGUGUUUAGGACUAUAGAGAGUAGUCCAAAGUUACUCCCUGGGAGGACUGUAUUUGGGCUGGCAAACCCAGUAAAGAGAGAGAGUCGGAAAGGUGGGAAGGGCUCUGGGGAAAAGCAGCACGGAUAGGAUAGGGAAGACCUUGGCUGCUGAUGAGACGGGCCCUGAGUUGGAACUUGCAGAAGAGGACAGGGCUGGGUUCUCCUACCAGCCACUGGGGAAGUGGCACAGACCAGGCAGUGGAGAGUGGAUUGCAUGGGACAGUUUGGGCUGGAUGGAAGACUUUUUGAUACCCCGGAAUGGGGGAAGCACACAUAGUGACCUGGCCGGAGGGCCAGGUCAUGAAGAAUGAGUCCCUGGACAUGGAGAGGAUGAUGGGUGGAGAGACCACCAGAAGAGGACGCAACACCUGGAAGGAGCUAAUCCCUACAGCUGCUAGGAGGAGGUACCCUAGUGGUGCUGCUGAACUGGAUAUUUUCUGAGGAUCAGGAUGCAGCUGCACCUUGGUUGUCCAGCAAAGAGGAAAAGCAAUGGGGUGUCUGUGAGGCUUCUGCUUUAGGCCUUAGCUUCUCCAUCCAGAUAUCACUGGAACAACAGACAGAACCCAGGAACAAUGCAACUGUUUAGAUACUUGGAGGAAAGGAAGAGAGGGGAAGAAAAGGCUGCAAAAGAGUGGAUGUGGAUGUUGUGAGUUUAAAGAAAAACGAUGGUGCACAUUCAUGGAGGGUUUCAAAAAUCAGAAGAUGAGUCUGAAAACACACUCGCAUAUAUAUAUUUUGGGGAGAAACAUCAAUAUGGUAUUAUACUGAGUACAAUUUAUUUGCACCAAUAAAAUCCAUGCUCUUUGCCUUAUCCACUUUCACAAGUGAUGUAAAUAGAAUUGUGUGUGUGUAUUAAAUGUAACAUGCUCAUAUUUUUAUGCACAAACCUCAAUACUAUAUACUAAUCUACAGGCAGACAUUUAUUUGUGCCAGCAAUGCCCCUUUGCCAUGUACAUUGGUCAAACUGGACA